AAGUCGUAACAAGGUCUCCGUUGGUGAACCAGCGGAGGGAUCAUUACAGAGUUGCAAAACUCCAAACCCAUGUGAACAUACCUCGUGUUGCCUCGGCGGCAAGCGUAGUGCUCGGGAGGUGCCUACCCGGUACUUACCCUUGAGCUACCCUGGAGCUCCCUACCCGGGAGCUGCACGGUACCUACCCUGGAGCUACCCAGUAGCUACCCUGGAGGACUUGCGUAUCCGCCGAAGGACCACUUAAACUCUUGUUUCUGUGUGGCACAUCUGAGUUAUUAUAUUAAUAAGUCAAAACUUUCAACAACGGAUCUCUUGGUUCUG
rnacentral:misc_RNA from 1 species